rnacentral:rRNA from 1 species
CAAUAGCGUAUACUAAUGUUGUUGCAGUUAAAAAGCUCGUAGUUGAACUUCCGGUAGGAGUGUCCCGGCCUUUUUGUUUUUACAAAUUGUAUGCUGUGUGACAUCUCUGGCCAUCCUUCUUCUUUGUUUAAAGAAGAUCUUUCACUGUAAAAAAAUUAGGGUGUUCAAAGCAAAAGUUUCUUUGGAAUAUAUUAGUAUGGGAUGAUAAGAUAGGCUCUAGAUGCUAUUUUGUUGGUUUGCACAUUUAGAGAAUGAUUAACAGGGACAGUUGGGGGUAUUCGUAUUUACAUGUCAGAGGUGAAAUUCUUGGAUUUUGGAAAGACGAACUACUGCGAAAGCAUUUACCAAGGAUGUUUUCAUUAA